AGCUGACUUUGGAGAAUCCUUUUUGCCCACUAUGAUUCCUCAAACACUACGUACACCCUUAUCUGUUCGAGCUCCUGAGGUUGUAUUUCAGGAUUGCAGUGACUAUCGGGCUGACUUGUGGAGCAUGGGAUGCAUGGUCAACCGCCAUUUGACACCUUGUUGAUAACGCCAGUGGGCGACGUGGCCACAGGAGGUGAUAUGACCAAUAAACCAGAUCCAGUUUGCAGGAAUGGCUGGAAGAGGUGUACCUUGAGAGCGCCCAUCUCACAAGAGAGGAUAUCUUGAGCCUGGGACAAAUCAUUGGAAGGUUAAUUGUAUUUUGAGCCCUCUGCAAGAGCGUCAGCGAGGCAAGUUCUAGAUGACCCUUGGUUUAAUGAGUAAUUCGUAUACAACAGAGUCAUUGCGCUUGUGUGGGUGUGUUGGCGAGGAACACCAGCGCAGGAAUUAGUGAAACCGCAAGAUACCUUUAGUCUACCAGAGCUUUAGGGAAGCUAUAAGAACCCUUGGCCAUCUCAUACCCUUCAGCGAAACACUUAGGUACCUAAC
rnacentral:sRNA from 1 species